ACCAAAUCGAGCGAUGAAAUAGAAAAAAAGAGGAAGAAUGGGAAAAUGGAAAACAACUUGAAUUGGGAAUUGAUGCUAGCUUUGAUUUUUUUUGUUUCUUGAGGGGUUGAAUGGAUCCCGCCCAUUCCAAGGGUGUAAGAAAGGGUAGCAAAUCCAGAUAUUUCAUGCUCUGGUGACUUCAAUGAAGAAAUGCUUUGAUAAUGCUUAGCUUCCUCCAAGAAGAUGGGAAAAAAUGUAACUGUUUACGUUACAUUAAGCACCACACACCUUUCUGUACGUCAUCUGUGCCCAUGCCAUCUCUUAGAUAUAAUUGGCGUAAUCUGAUGAUAAAAUGAUUACACUUCAAAAAUUUGUGUGCUGUGUUUGCGCAUACGC
rnacentral:ribozyme from 16 species